rnacentral:tRNA from 1 species
UAUAUUUUAGUAUAUGAUGUACAGUAGUUUUUGAUACUAUCAGAAAUAGUUUAAUUCUUUUAAAUAUAA